GACGAACGCUGGCGGCGUGCUUAACACAUGCAAGUCGAACGGAAAGGCCCUUCGGGGUACUCGAGUGGCGAACGGGUGAGUAACACGUGGGUGAUCUGCCCUGCACUUUGGGAUAAGUCUGGGAAACUGGGUCUAAUACCGAAUAUGAUCAUCGGCUUCAUGGUCGGUGGUGGAAAGCUUUUGCGGUGUGGGAUGGGCCCGCGGCCUAUCAGCUUGUUGGUGGGGUAAUGGCCUACCAAGGCGACGACGGGUAGCCGGCCUGAGAGGGUGACCGGCCACACUGGGACUGAGAUACGGCCCAGACUCCUACGGGAGGCAGCAGUGGGGAAUAUUGCACAAUGGGCGCAAGCCUGAUGCAGCGACGCCGCGUGAGGGAUGACGGCCUUCGGGUUGUAAACCUCUUUCAGCACAGACGAAGCGCAAGUGACGGUAUGUGCAGAAGAAGGACCGGCCAACUACGUG
rnacentral:rRNA from 1 species